rnacentral:rRNA from 1 species
GACGAACCGUGCGAACGUUGUUCGGAAUCACUGGGCUUAAAGGGCGCGUAGGCGGCGUGUCAAGUCAGGCGUGAAAGCCCCGGGCUCAACCUGGGAACCGCGCUUGAGACUGGCAUGCUCGAGUUCGGGAGAGGAUGGUGGAAUUCCCAGUGUAGAGGUGAAAUUCGUAGAUAUCGGGAGGAACACCGGUGGCGAAGGCGGCAGCCUGGGUUGACACUGACGCUGAGGCGCGAAAGCGUGGGGAGCAAACAGG